AUUGAACGCUGGCGGCAUGCCUUACACAUGCAAGUCGAACGGUAACGGGCCUUCGGGUGCCGACGAGUGGCGAACGGGUGCGUAAUACAUCGGAACGUGCCCGAUCGUGGGGGAUAACGAGGCGAAAGCUUUGCUAAUACCGCAUACGAUCUACGGAUGAAAGCCGGGGACCGCAAGGCCUUACGCGGACGGAGCGGCCGCUGGCAGAUUAGGUAGUUGGUGGGAUAAAAGCUUACCAAGCCGACGAUCUGUAGCUGGUCUGAGAGGAUGAUCAGCCACACUGGGACUGAGACACGGCCCAGACUCCUACGGGAGGCAGCAGUGGGGAAUUUUGGACAAUGGGCGCAAGCCUGAUCCAGCCAUGCCGCGUGCAGGAUGAAGGCCUUCGGGUUGUAAACUGCUUUUGUACGGAACGAAAAGCCUUCUUUUAAUACAGGAGGGUCAUGACGGUACCGUAAGAAUAAGCACCGGCUAACUACGUG
rnacentral:rRNA from 1 species